GACGAACGCUGGCGGCGUGCUUAACACAUGCAAGUCGAACGGUGAAGCUCCAGCUUGCUGGAGUGGAUCAGUGGCGAACGGGUGAGUAACACGUGAGCAACCUGCCCCUGACUCUGGAAUAAGCGCUGGAAACGGCGUCUAAUACUGGAUACGAGAAGGGUCCGCAUGGGCACUUUCUGGAAAGUUUUUCGGUUGGGGAUGGGCUCGCGGCCUAUCAGCUUGUUGGUGAGGUAAUGGCUAACCAAGGCGACGACGGGUAGCCGGCCUGAGAGGGCGACCGGCCACACUGGGACUGAGACACGGACCAGACUCCUACGGGAGGCAGCAGUGGGGAAUAUUGCACAAUGGGCGAAAGCCUGAUGAAGCGACGCCGCGUGAGGGAUGACGGCCUUCGGGUUGUAAACCUCUUUCAGCAGGGAAGAAGCGAAAGUGACGGUACCUGCAGAAGAAGCACCGGCUAACUACGUG
rnacentral:rRNA from 1 species